UACAGGAAUGUUGUCAAUUUUGCUUAUCACCUUGAUGUUAUAAAAGCAAUGUUUAAAAAAACGCUCUAAAAUUACUUUAGAACUAUAUAUCGAGUGAGAUGCUUUUGUCUGAGCUAGGAUCUCUAGUUGGCCUGAAAAUUUGCAGUGAACUUCCUUCUUGGGGUGGUUAUCGAUGUGGGCAACCAUAGCAGGCCUGUGAGAUAUUUUGUUUAUUUAACCAACCUGUGGCUUAAUUGCUGGUAUUGCAUAAUUCCUUUGUAGGAGAGAAUGACACAAAGUAUGCGUUUAAUACUGAUUUGAGAACAGGUGUUCAGAUCCAGUGGACUCUGGCUACAUGAAUGGGUUAAUCACUGUUGGAACUAUAAGAGGUUGAGAGAAUUGAAGUUGACAGUGAGGUUUUGUGUGUGUGUGUGUUUGUGUGUUUGAAGUGUAUCUAUGAAGCCAUAGUUGCAUUGAACUACAUGAACCAGGCUGCUUAGGUCCUGAGUUCACUCAGACAUCAGGAGAAAGCACUGGAGGCUGGGGGCUGCUGGAUCCAUAUGGGAGCCAUGCAGGAUUUGACCAUUGACUUCUUCACAGACUUCUUCACAAGAGUAGAGGAGUGAGGAAGGUGGGGGCCUCAACACUUCCUUUCCAUUCUGUUUGUCUUGCUAUGUUUUUAUAUUCCUUUUUAUCUGUUUAAUUACUUAUUUCGUACAAAAUUUGGUCCAGCCUCCUUAGAUAUGGCAUUGAUAUAAAAUGCAAAAUAGAAGCUAAAUUCUAGGAGUACUGCAUUUCUUUCUUGCUUCUGACUCAGACAAGGAAGGCUAGAACAGCUCAGUUAGUGGACACUGCCUCUUUAUUGACAUUUUUUUCAGUUAGUGAAGGCUGGGACAGAGCUGCAGUCAGGACACCUUUUGUGCUGCGGGACAAUACUGCCAUCAUGCGGAACAGGUUUCUAGUAGACCAGCGCAGGCACACAUACCUCCUCCUCCAUCCUGCUUCUCCUCAGUCAUUUUGAAGCAGGGAAGAUCAGGGGGGUUCAUGAAUGGCGAAAUUUCCCCGUUUUACUGUAUUUCACUCCUUCUGUAGGCAGACUAGCAUAACAGGACCUUUCAGAGUAUUAACGCAGACCCGGGUGACUGAGGUCCAGUACCAAGUGCGCAGCUGUGCUGAGGUCCAGGGACAGGAAGCAGAGGGGCAGGUUCCACCCCGCUCAGCUGGACAUGGCUUGAGGGUGAGAGAGGAGUAUCCAGGAUGGCCUAUGUGGACAUAUGUGGUGUCCUUCUGCCAUUCUGUGGGCAGAGCUACAGUGCUGAGCCAUUACAUCUUCAUUCCCAUGAGUCCCAGCAGUGGGGAAACAAUGCCAGAACUGGCCCCUGGGAUUUGCUGCUCAGGACCGGAGUUCACUCAGGCAUCAGGAGCAAGAACUGGAGGCCCGGUGCUGCUGGAUCCAGAUGGGAGCCAUGCGGGAUUGGACCAUUGCCUGCACAGAUUUCUUCCCAGGAGAAGGGGAGUGAGGAAGAACUGGACGAUGACAUUUAACCUCCACACCACAAGCACUGGGAUAGAAGACUGCUGCUGGGUGAAGAAGAGACUAGACUUGAUCAUUGAUGAGCCACCAAUUUCUUCAAAAACCAUGCAGCAUGAGGAAGAACUGGCCCCUGGGAUUUUUCUGCUCAGGACCCGAGUUCACUCAAACAUCAGGAGCAAGUACUGGAGGCCCAGUGCUGCUGGAUCCAGAUGGGAGCCAUGCAGGAUUUGACCAUUGCCUGCACAGAUUUCUUCCCAGGAGAAGGGGAGUGAGGAAGGCAGACUAGCAUCACAGGACCUUUCAGAGUAUUAACUCAGACCCUGGUGACUGAGGUCCAGUACCAAGUGCUCAGCAGUGCUGAGGUCCAGGGACAGGAAGCAGAGGGGCAGGUUCCACCCCGCUCAGCUGGCCAUGAACUGGCCCCUGGGAUUUGCUGCUCAGGACCCGAGUUCACUCAGACAUCAGGAGCAAGAACUGGAGGCCCGGUGCUGCUGGAUCCAGAUGGGAGCCAUGCCGGAUUUGACCAUUGCCUGCACAGACUUCUUCCCAGGAGAAGGGGAGUAAGGAAGGUGGGGCCUCAAAGCUUCCUGUCCAUUUUGUUUGUCUGGCUAUGUUUUUGUAUUCCUUUUUAUCUGUUUAAUUACUUAUUUUGUACAAAAUUUGGUCCAGCCUCCUUAGAUAUGGCAUUGAUAUAAAAUGCAAAAUAAAAGGUAAAUUCUAGGAGUACAGCAUUGCAUACUUCUGACUCAGACAAGGAAGGCUAGAACAGCUCAGUUAGUGGAUAUUGCCUCUGUAUUGACAUUUUUUUCAGUCAGUGAGGGCAGGGACAGAGAGCUGCAGUCAGGACACCUUCUGUGCUGCGGGACAAUACUGCCAUCAUGCGGAACAGGUUUCUUGUAGACCAGUGCAGGCACACAUACCUUCUCCUCCAUCCUGCUUCUCCUCAGCCAUGUUGAAGCAGGGAAGAUCAGGGGGGUUCGUGAAUGGCGAAAUUUGCCGUUUUUACUGUAUUUCUCUCCUUCUGUAGGCAGAUUAGCAUCAGAGGACCUUUCAGAGUAUUAACACAGACACCCGGUGACU